rnacentral:siRNA from 1 species
UGUGGGACAUUCUAAAAUCGUA